GGGGUUGUGGCUCAGCAGUAGAGCGCUUGCCUGGCAAGUCCAAGGUCCUGGGUUCGAUCCUCAGCACCA
rnacentral:tRNA from 1 species